CAGGAUACACAAGUACACUGCUAUAGAUACCGGGUCUGUGUGAACCUCUAUGGCACGGCAGCAUCCUCAUCCUCAAAAGUGACACCUCGUGAUGAAGUUAACAGCAACAAGGAGCUUCUCCGCAUCUCUCAGAGAAUAAUCACAGCCUUGGGGGAAAGGAAACUGAACCAAAUUCCUUCUUCUGCAUCACAAGAAUUACUGAAAUGUGGCAGCAUGAAGCGCCAACCAACCGCAGCUGAGCAAAGCCCACAGCACCAGCGCCAUUCACGUGGGGAAGAUGAAGAGUUUGGGGACAGUGAUGCUUGCAGAAGAGACAGUGACAGCCGAUGAGCAGCCCUCAGAGGCUGGGCUGUGAGACCGUUAUCACUGCUAAUAAUGCCUAAGUGGAAAAGCAAAAUGAGAUCUGACAUCAUUGUUUUCCCAGCUGCACGGAUGGGGCUGAGAAUGGGGGCUCUGAGGGACCAGGGGAUCCCAGGGCAGCUACUGGAGCUGUUUUUGGCAUGGAGGAGGGCUGGGAUGGUUUUGAAAGACUGGUGAGAAACUGAGGGGGAAAAGGAAGCCUUACUUAACAGAGGUGUGCUCAGCAAGAAGAUGAUAAAAAAUGGGGCUUUGGAGGUACGCCAACCAGCUACCUCAAACAAAAAUUGAGCUGGAAUUUGUUUAGAUGCUUAAUGAGCCACCAAGGGAAAAAGAAAAGAGGAAGAUCGCUUGCCCCUACCAUUUUCAUUGACCAAACACACAGUUGCUGCUAACAGCUCCUACUGCUACUCAGUAUUUUGCUGCCCAAGUCUCAAACCGAACAGAACCACGUCCCUCUGUUUUACUCCCCAAGCUCUCUACACAAACCUUCUCUGCAGCGCUGCUUGUUUUUACAUAUCACCAUUUUAGUAAAGGACAGGAGCCACCACUUAAUUCACCUGCAGAAAUAGAUUUCACCACACCACAAACCAAAUUCUUCUCAAACCCCUGCUUCCUUUCCCCUUCGGUGAAGCUACUAAUGACAGUAAUCUAACUGCUUCACACCUUUAUUUUCCUGUCUGCUGAAUGAAAUAAAUGCCUAAGUUGAAAACCUA